GAUGAAGAACGUAGCGAAAUGCGAUAUGUAGUGUGAAUUGCAGAAUUCAGUGAAUCAUCGAAUCUUUGAACGCACAUUGCGGCCAUAGGUAUUCCUUUGGCCAUGCCUGUUCGAGCGUCAUUUACACCCUCAAGCCUAGCUUGGUGUUGGGCGUCUGUCCCGCCGUUCUCGCGCGCGGACUCGCCUCAAAGUCAUUGGCGGCGGUCGUGCCGGCCCCCUCGCGCAGCACAUUUGCGCUUCUCGGAGGCCCGGCGGAUCCGCGCUCCAGCAAGACCUUUCACGACUUGACCUCGGAUCAGGUAGGGAUACCCGCUGAACUUAAGCAUAUCAAUAAGCGGAGGA
rnacentral:misc_RNA from 1 species